rnacentral:tRNA from 1 species
GCCCUCGUAGCUCAGUUGGAUAGAGCGUCCGCCUCCUAAGUGGAAGGUCACAGGUUCAAUUCCUGUCGAGGGCACCA